ACGCUGGCGGCAGGCCUAACACAUGCAAGUCGAGCGGAAACGAGUUAACUGACCCUUCGGGUGACGUUAACGGCGUCGAGCGGCGGACGGGUGAGUAAUGCCUGGGAAAUUGCCCUGAUGUGGGGGAUAACCAUUGGAAACGAUGGCUAAUACCGCAUAAUGCCUUCGGGCCAAAGAGGGGGACCUUCGGGCCUCUCGCGUCAGGAUAUGCCCAGGUGGGAUUAGCUAGUUGGUGAGGUAAUGGCUCACCAAGGCGACGAUCCCUAGCUGGUCUGAGAGGAUGAUCAGCCACACUGGAACUGAGACACGGUCCAGACUCCUACGGGAGGCAGCAGUGGGGAAUAUUGCACAAUGGGCGCAAGCCUGAUGCAGCCAUGCCGCGUGUGUGAAGAAGGCCUUCGGGUUGUAAAGCACUUUCAGCAGUGAGGAAGGCGGGUACGUUAAUAGCGUGCUCGUUUGACGUUAGCUGCAGAAGAAGCACCGGCUAACUCC
rnacentral:rRNA from 1 species